rnacentral:lncRNA from 1 species
GGAGCCUGUCAUAUCAGCUGAGACAGCCGAAUUGGAUAAAAGUUUGUUCAAGUAUUACAACCUUCCUUACUAUUGUUUCUGUGUGUCUGUGCAUGUUCAUAUGCAUAAUGUAUGGGUUUGUUACUAAUGAACUGCUCCUGAUUUGUCUCUAUUUUCUUAGUAGUUACCAUGUUAUUUGGUUUACUCAUUUUCUGAGAGUUUAAAUUGGCUCACUAUAUGUUACUGCUCCUACAGUAAGAUUGGUCACUUUAUCUUCUAGGUUACAUGUCAUUAAGAGUCCUGUGGUGCUGCAACAAUGAAGAUCAGAAUCCUGUUAUGCCUAGGAGCACUGAGUCCCUGGGAAACGUAGAUGAGUGUGCUGUAUCCACAUGCUGUCCUCCACAGACUUCAUUCUCUGCAUUUAUCCUUGGUGACGUGGCAGCCCUGGUAAGCUUUACUUACACUGAAAAAUGUAAUUGUGUUUUUUCUCUCUCAGUAUGUAAGAACUGGAAGUUGUUUGGUACUCACUGUCAUAAAGAGAGAAACUUAUCAUGCCACCAAAUCAUUGCUCCCAAGCUGUCAUAUUGAGUAUUGAUCCUUUGUUUCUGAGUAAGCAAGCCCUGUGGUUGAUCAUCAUCAUUCUAGGAUGUCUCGUUGUAGUGAAUGGAUCAAUAAUGUCUUCAGUGGCCUGCAUCUGUGUGCUCCCCUCUGCUAUUCAGAGGCUGUCAGGAAGCAGUGAGGCCAGCUGCUCGUCAGGGGUGGAGAGCCCAGAGCUGCAUGUGGCAGGGCUGACUUAAAGCUGCAUUUGCAAAGCAGAGAGCUGCACUCUCACUAACGUACCUUAGAGUGUUAAACAUCUGCUAACCUUACUUCCGAACCUUUCUAAUAGAUGAGACUAUUAGCUUUCGUUAGUCACAAAGCUCAGUAAUUCUGAAGUUGCAGAUGAAGGGUGUGUGUUUUGUUGGGGAUUUCUUCAUUUUGUCAGGAGUUGUGGUUUCCUGAUUUUAUUUUCAUACUAACGUGGUAAUACAAAUCCCAUCUUUUGUCCAGGUGUGAAAACAGAGAAAACUUGGCGUUUCUGUGAUUGUGUGUGACAUUUGCUGUGAAUUAGUAUUAGAUCUAAUAUAACCGUGUCUGUGUGAAAGUUUAGAUAGAUAGCUGCUGAUCCCUUCCAUCAGCUUCAAUCCUUUUAGCACACUGACACAUUUGGAGUCUAAGAAAUAUUCGCAUCUGCCUUUGACA